rnacentral:rRNA from 1 species
UCGGGAAUUUUGGGCAAUGGGCGAAAGCCUGACCCAGCAACGCCGCGUGAGGGAUGAAGUAUUUCGGUAUGUAAACCUCGAAAGAAUGGGAAGAAUAAAUGACGGUACCAUUUAUAAGCUCCGGCUAACUACGUGCCAGCAGCCGCGGUAAUACGUAGGGAGCAAGCGUUGUUUGGAUUUACUGGGCGUAAAGGGCGCGUAGGCGGCGCGGUAAGUCACUUGUGAAAUCUCUGAGCUUAACUCAGAACGGCCAAGUGAUUCUGCUGUGCUAGAGUGCAGAAGAGNCAACCGGAAUUCUUGGUGUAGCGGUGAAAUGCAUAGAUAUCAAGAGGAACACCUGUGGCGAAGGCGGGUUGCUGGGCCGACACUGACGCUG